GAAUUUUCCCCACAAAUUCUUUGCACAACUGGACCACCACCUAUUUCAUUUGAUGACAAUUUAAGGCAACAGCAUCCAAAACUGGCAAGACAGCAGAUACCUUGGCUAAUCUUUUGAAGGUUUAUGAUGAGCAGGAACUGCAUGAUGUCAGUUCAUGACGGACUACUGUUAUCAGAGGUCUUUUGGUCUUGCUGCGUGAGCGUGACUUGGGAUUCUUUAGAAACACCCUGAUCGAUAAUCCUGAAGUGCUGACUGAAGAUGCUUUAUUGGCCCUGCAUUCACUGAGGG